GGAGAGAUGGCAGAGUGGUUGAAUGCACCGGUCUUGAAAACCGGCGUGCCUUAACGGGUACCCAGGGUUCGAAUCCCUGUCUCUCCG
rnacentral:tRNA from 1 species